rnacentral:rRNA from 1 species
GACUAACGCUGGCGGCAUGCAUCAUACAUGCAAGUCGAACGGGGAGUAUUGUAGCAAUACAGUGCUCCUAGUGGCGAACGGGUGAGUAACACGUAGGUAACCUGCCCCUGAGACCGGCAUAACAUGCCGAAAGGCGUGCUAAUGCCGGACGUGACCCCGGCUCGGCAUCGAGCAGAGGUAAAAGGACUGGGAGCAAUCCUAGCGCUGAGGGAUGGGCCUGCGGGCUAUCAGCUAGUUGGUGAGGUAACGGCUCACCAAGGCUAUGACGGCUAGCCGGCUUGAGAGAGUGAACGGCCACACUGGAACUGAGACACGGUCCAGACUCCUACGGGAGGCAGCAGUAGGGAAUCUUCCGCAAUGGGCGAAAGCCUGACGGAGCAAUGCCGCGUGAACGAAGAAGGUUUUCGGAUCGUAAAACUCUGUUGGUAGAGAAGAACGUUGGUGAGAGUGGAAAGCUCAUCAAGUGACGGUAACUACCCAGAAAGGGACGGCUAACUACGUGCCAGCCGCCGCAGUAA